UCACUGACGUUAUAAGUUUAAGAGCCGCGGUAUACUGACCGUGCAAAGGUAGCAUAAUCAUUAGUUUUUUAAUUGAAAACUUGUAUGAAGGGUUUGACAAAAGAAAUACUGUCUUUAUUUUAAAUAUUGAAUUUAACUUUUAAGUGAGAAGGCUUAAAUUGUUUGGGGGGACGAUAAGACCCUAUAAAGCUUUAUUUAUUGUUUAAGAUUUAUUAAAAUAAUAAUUUAAAAUGUAUUUUAAAUAAUUUAUUUUGUUGGGGCGACAGAGAUAUAAGUUAAAUAACUGUUUAAAAUUUAAAUAGCUAUAGGUAGAUAAGGAGUAAAUGAUCCUUUUUAAAGAUUAAAAGAACAAGUUACUUUAGGGAUAACAGCGUAAUUCUCUUUGAGAGUUCCUAUCGAAAAGAGAGUUUGCGACCUCGAUGUUGAAUUAAAAGAUCUUUAUUGUGCAGCAGCUUUAAGAGAGGGUCUGUUCGACCUUUAAAUUUUUACAUGAUUUGAGUUCAGAUCGGCGUGAGCCAGGUUG
rnacentral:rRNA from 1 species